CUUGGUUAGAAGCAGCUUCUGCAGCUUGGGCCUUCCUCUUAGAGGGGAGCACAUCUUAAAUAAGGAAGGACUUGCCAGCUCCUGUGUAAGGAAGUCAAGAUUUUCUCAAGGGAAAAAUCACCCUAGAAACCAUCAACUCAUGACAAACGUGAUCUCCAACGUUCAUUGUGGAAAAUAGCCUCAAGGAUGAGAUGAUGAGGAUUUUGAAGAUGGGUCUUAAGAGAAAACACUGAGGUCCCUCGAAGAUGAAGAAAUCCUCAUGAAGAUGAAUCCAAAGGUGGAUUCAAUUUCAGCUGUCUUUGGACUGAAGACUGCAACAUCAACACUUCCCAGGGUCUCCAGCCUGCCCGCCUCUCCCGCAAAUUUCAGAUUUGCAAGUAUCCACAGUCAUGAGCAAUUCCUUAAAGUAAAUAUUUCUCUGUUUCUUUCUGGAUAUGUAUAGGUUGUUUCUCUGGAGAAUCCUGAUUAAUACAUGAAGGGUCAAGAUAAGUCUACUCCAGGUGAAGUGCAAAAAAUGAACAAGGAGGCCCAAUGAUGCAUCUGCUUAACUUUUCAGUUGUCAAUGCAAAUUAAGCACAAAGAGGACAGAGUUGAUGACAUAUCAGGAACAUUUUUUACUUCCGGAGCAGGUCUGAGUCCCAGCGGAAGACUGAGGCCGACUGAGCCAGAGGCACCACUUCAAUAGGUCACUGGUCUCUGCAGGGAAAGGAAAAGGUGUAAGAGUUCUCCCUGCAUAGAUGCUAUUUGUGACUUGGAUGUUUUCUUUCUAAUACAAAUGCAUCAAAGUGUUCACAGGAAUCUAGCUAUAUGCAAGAAGUCUGGAUUAUCUGCCUGAGAGAACUGGCCAGUAUCUCACCCAUGAGCACCAGAACCCAUUUCUAGAUUACUAAGAAAGGAGCACAAGAACACUGUGUAUAAGGCUCUGUGUUCCUAGAACUUUCUAAAUUUUACUUAAUGCAGGUUAACUUCAUCAACCCUGGUGAAAAUGCCACCUCCUCAUGAGGAAGCCUUCCCCAUUUGCUCUGUCUCAGAGACACUUGACUCCAUGGACUUCUCUGCAAUUCUGUUCUGUGUAGGACUGCCUAGUGCCUAGCCUUCUUGUGAUGUUCCUUGCUUAUGUCUUGUCUCCCCAUUUGAUUUGGAGGGUCCUGGGCAGGGACCACUGGGCUGGGCUCUAGUAGGCCCCCUGUAAAGACCUGUUGAGUAAUUAGAAGAGACAGUGGCCCCAUCUGGGUGAAUCCUGAAUUUAAUCAAUUUCCUGGAUCCUUGUUUAUUUUGCAAGUAGGAUAAGAAUGUCAUUGAAAUCCUAUCAUGUAGUCAUGGAAGGGCUAAUACAGUCAGUGUACUGCUACUCACUAAGCAUGCUGUUUAGCUCAGCGGUUUUUUGUUUUGUUUUGAUAACAAGACUGUCUCGAUGAAAGAAGCAGGGCGUUGUUUAAUAUUCUAAUGCAGGCUCCUUAUUUCACGACAUACUGGUAGUUACACUUGGAGUCGCAGUGAAAUAAAACAUCUAGGCCAGCGCCGUGGCUCACGUCUGUAAUCCCAGCACUUUCGGAGGCUGAGGCAGGUGGAUCACUUGAGGUCAGGAGUUUGAACCAGUUUGGCCAACAUGGUGAAACCCUGUCUUUACUAAAAAUACAAAAAUUAGCCUGGCGUGGUGAUGCAUGCCUGUAGUCCCAGGUACCUGCGAGGCUGAGGCAGGAGAAUCGCUUGAACCUGGAAGGUGGAGAUUGCAGUGAGCCAAGAUGGCACCACUGCACUCCAGCCUGGGUGACAGAGCAAGACUCUGUCUCAAAAAAAUUAAAGAAAAUAGAAAUAAAACAUAUAGCCUCACCCUCUUCAUUUGACAGAUGUGGGCUUUGAGGCUGAUAGAGAGGUAACUUGUCCAUGAUUAGACAGCAAGAAAUAGAGCUGCAGUUGGUACCAGGGCCUCAUAACACUGGGUCUAUAAUCACAAUGAAGCACCACCAGUGUCAAUGCAUGUAAAUUUCACACCCCUUAUCACACUGCAUCUACAAAGUAGUGCUGAGAACUGGGCAUGGCAGGCAUUAGUCUCUCCACGAGGAAACAGGCUCAGAGACUCUGAAGAUCCGUCCAAAUGCAUAGAGUGGGGAAGCAGUGAAAAGACGACGUUAGGACAUCCCAGCCCUGCCCACGUUCAGAGUUUGUUCCAACACAUUAGUCUUCAGAUGAGCUCACUAUUUUAGUCCUGCGUGCUCCAGCAAUGGCCUGAGAGGUGUGGGUACGUGCUGAAUGUCCAGGCCUUGUUAAAGAUAACUGCAGUACGGGCCAGGCGUGGUGGCUCGCGCCUGUAAUCCCAGCACUUUGGGAGGCCGAGGAGGAUGGAUCACGAGGUCAGGAGUU
rnacentral:lncRNA from 10 species